GGGGAUAUAGUUUAGUGGCAAAAUCCAUCAUUCGCAGCUUCAAGCUCAACAUUGAUGGGCCCUGGGUUCGAUUCUCAGUGUCUCCA